GGCACUACAGUUCGAGGAGGCCAAAUUCAAAGCAUUUGAUCUGGCCUCGAAGCCUGAGGGAACUGGAACACCAACUAAGGAUUUCAAGGCUUUGUUUUCCCAAAUUACUACUCGUUUUUGAAGUAAAAUGCCCAUAAUUAUAAAUUAGGGAGCAUCACCUGCUAAAGAGUUAGUUAUUUAUUUAUUGAUAUGUUUUCUACCUUUACACUUUGAACUAUCAAGGAAUUAGCUGUUUUAAGCAGUGGAACUUUCGUCAAACCUACAUGUUGAUAUGUACUAUUUAUUGGUGAAAUCAAUGCUGUGAAAUUGAUAACAUGGAUAUGUAGUUUUUUGUUUUUCUUUUUAUAUUGUUCGCCAGACAUUUUAACUGAAUAGCAUUCUAAACUUAUGCCGUUAUAUUAUGUCGAAGGAUGGCUUUAGCCUCGGAUAGUGUUUGGAGUAUAACUACUGUGAGAGGUACUUCAAGAAAACCAACUUUAGGCAUUUGAAGUAAUGUCAUUUCAUUUAGUGGAUGGAAACUGGUGAUGUAAUGGAUUUGCAGUUCAAAUAUUAUNNNNNNNNNNNNNNNNNNNNNNNNNNNNNNNNNNNNNNNNNNNNNNNNNNNNNNNNNNNNNNNNNNNNNNNNNNNNNNNNNNNNNNNNNNNNNNNNNNNNUAUGGGAGGGUCCCAGCCUGUUAGAUACUCAAGUAAUCCUCACGGACAUGUAAAAUCACUACGUCCCAUGCAUCAGGUAAUUACUAGGAAAAAACUUUCAGUAAUUACUGAUUAGACUUUCACAGUUGGAAGUGAAAUCUUAGCCAUCUCACUGAACGACUUUUCCUACAACUGGGGUUUCUGUUUUUAUUUCAUCAAGAUUAAGGUCUUUUCUUGACAUGGUCCGUUGCUGCUUUAUUCACACAGGCCAAAUUGUUUAUAAGAAGUUGAAGGAGAAGUCUGACCAGUAUAUUGGUAGAGGUUUGGUCAGAACAGAGGAGAGCAAAGAGAAAAUUGGUGGAGCUGAUGAUGUUUUUGUUGGGGAUAUAAGGGACGCUGACAGCAUAGGAACUGCAAUCCAAGGUAUUGAUUCUCUUAUAAUUCUUACGAGUGGUGUGCCAAAAAUGAAGCCUGGUUUUGAUCCAAGUAAAGGCGGAAGGCCUGAGUUCUAUUUUGAAGAUGGAGCAUAUCCUGAACAGGUAACUACUAAACUAUAUCUAACAAUACAAACUUGGGUAUUCAUUUUUUAUUUUAAUUUUUUACUUUUCUAUUGAUGAUUAUCAAUUUUUGUCUUUUUUUUUCUUCAUAUUUUGAUAAAUAAUUUGUUAGGUUGACUGGAUUGGGCAGAAAAAUCAAAUAGAUGCUGGUGAGGCCUUUUUACUUUAACUUAUUAAUCAAAUGUAUUUUUUUCUGAGUUUUUGUGAUACAAAUGUACAGCUAAAGCUGCUGGGGUGAAACAAAUCGUGCUGGUUGGAUCAAUGGGAGGAACAGAUCUCAGCAACCCACUGAACAGCUUGGGGAAUGGGAAUAUAUUGGUUUGUAUUGCUCUUACUCGUUGUUUCAUUUUCUUUAUCUCAUCCGGUCAUCUGAAUGAGGAUAAGGAUUCAUGGUUCCAUGCAUGAAGUUCUUCUAUUGUUGUUUUGUGAUGAAGAGAGAUGUUUUUCUGAUUGUGCGCCUGUACCUCAUCUUUCUUAUUCCUCACAAGCCAUAAUACGAGUGCCUCUAUGAAUACUUUUUGUGUUUUUCUCCAACUUUUUAUUUUAGAAGUAGCUGUGCCAAGGUCUUGUUAACACAUGACUUUGCUGUCCAUACAUGGUUGACUAUCCUAAAUGAAAUUAUAUUCGUUUAAAAGUUUAGUAGGGUGUUGAAAAGUGAUUUGCAGUUGUUUUGAAGCAGAGAAUAUUCCCUAUAGGUCACUUCUAACCUAAUGUUGAUGACCUGCAUCAUUUUUAUGACUGGUGUUUCUGGGCCAUUUUGAUGCCCCUUUUCACUCUCCUUUUUAUGUUUUGCUUUCCUCUUGCUAAAAAUGCUUAGAUUACAAGAAUCACUUCAAAGAAGUUCAAUUGGUCAUGCUACAGGUAUGGAAGAGAAAGGCUGAGCAAUAUUUAGCUGACUCUGGGGUUCCCUACACAAUUAUAAGGUAUGGUCAUCAUUCUUUCUUGUAUUUUCAUAAUAAGAAGUGAUUAUUUGAAUAUGGAUGCCUAGAUGAAAGUUCAAGAUAAUUUAUGUGAUAAGGUGUCAUUCUUUUUACUCUUUCUUUCUCAUUGCCAUUUGGGAUGAAAAGGGGUGAGGUUCUAUAGCACCCAAUUUGUGUUUUAUAUAUAUAAAAAAUUGCCUUUCAAGAUUAAAGAGGCUAACUGCCCUAUUACAAGCAGUAUUUUAAAAAUUCUUCUAGGUCUGCUUAGGCGGAAUUGGUCCUCAGCCUCGAUUAGACCCUAGUCGCUUACAUUGAAACUUAAUUACUUUUAUUAGGUCAUGACCGUAAAAAAUUUCAACUUUUUAUUUUAAAAAUUAUUAAUUGCAUUGCAUCCUUUGAAUAUAUUUUUUUAUAAUAAUUAAUCAGGUUAUUUAAUUUACAACUCUAAAACCUAGACCAUUUCCUUAGUUUUCUUAAGUGCCCAAUGAACCGUACCAAUAUAGUAGAUUUAAGGUUAAAGUCAAAAGAAUUGUCUAACAAAUGACUGAUUGACUACUAAUAUGAAUUUAAAAUGAUGACUAAUAAUGGUAUUUAGUAAAUGCUUUCAAGCUCUACAAUCUUGAAAUGAAUUUAUUAUGCCUUAUAAGAUUGUUUUUUGGGUAAUAUUUUUAUAUAUUGCGACUUUUCUCAACUGUUGAUCCCAUUUUUGUUAUAUAUCAUUCAACACUACCUAGUUUAUUAAGAUUUAAGAUUAACUUUAACAAAUAUGCAUGAUUAUAGAACAAUACUUUUUGGAGAAAUUAAAGUACAUUCAUUUUGGUUCUAUAUCUUGUGUUUUACUUUUAUCUUUCAAAGCAUGCCUAAUAAAAUGGAAGUGCAUGAUUAACUGUCCAUACAUUUGUUAUCCCUUUAGUUCAUGUAGUCUAAUUCUGAAAGUAUAUUUUUCACUCACAUCUCUUGGAAUGGUUCAGGGCAGGAGGAUUGCAAGACAAAGAAGGUGGUGUCCGCGAAUUGCUUGUUGGAAAGGAUGAUGAGCUUCUUAAGACAGAGACAAGAACUAUUUCCCGGGCAGAUGUUGCAGAAGUCUGCAUUCAGGUAUUUAUUUACGUGAUGUGCUUGUGGAAAUAUAUAUGUUCUUCUGCUUGUCACAUAGCAUUGCUUUGUCUGAUGGCACAUUAUUUGCUCUUGAACAGGCACUACAGUUCGAGGAGGCCAAAUUCAAAGCAUUUGAUCUGGCCUCGAAGCCUGAGGGAACUGGAACACCAACUAAGGAUUUCAAGGCUUUGUUUUCCCAAAUUACUACUCGUUUUUGAAGUAAAAUGCCCAUAAUUAUAAAUUAGGGAGCAUCACCUGCUAAAGAGUUAGUUAUUUAUUUAUUGAUAUGUUUUCUACCUUUACACUUUGAACUAUCAAGGAAUUAGCUGUUUUAAGCAGUGGAACUUUCGUCAAACCUACAUGUUGAUAUGUACUAUUUAUUGGUGAAAUCAAUGCUGUGAAAUUGAUAACAUGGAUAUGUAGUUUUUUGUUUUUCUUUUUAUAUUGUUCGCCAGACAUUUUAACUGAAUAGCAUUCUAAACUUAUGCCGUUAUAUUAUGUCGAAGGAUGGCUUUAGCCUCGGAUAGUGUUUGGAGUAUAACUACUGUGAGAGGUACUUCAAGAAAACCAACUUUAGGCAUUUGAAGUAAUGUCAUUUCAUUUAGUGGAUGGAAACUGGUGAUGUAAUGGAUUUGCAGUUCAAAUAUUAUACAAUGUUUACCAAUUCACUUGUAUGUUGAAAACCUGUCCUGUCUUUAAUUCUCUUUGUUAGGUGAGGACUUGCAAAGCCUUAUAUUUAUUUAUUUGCAAUUGAUGCAAAAAGAGUUGGCAUAUUCUUGUUUCCAUUUCAAUUGUCAUGAGACUCAUGACUAAUGCACAUUCUGUUCCUUUUCUACUAUAGGAGUAUCACUUUUUGAGUAACUGCUGACAAUUUUUGU
rnacentral:lncRNA from 1 species